CACCAUGAAGUGUCUGUGCUCUCUGACUGUCUUUGUCAUCGUGAUAGUGAACUGCGCUUCACAGUCAAUAGCACCACUGGAUAACAAAACACAGGUUCAUGCUCUUGAAGACGAGAGAGUUAUUCUCUCCUGCACGUAUAAUGGUAGAGUGACUAAUCUGCAGUGGUUUCGUCAGUAUCCUGGAUCCAGACCAGAGUUUUUGUUGCUGAAAUAUCCAGGAGCAAGUGGUGUAGUCCCUGCAGACCCUCCUUUCCCUCGACUGGAUGCCAAAGUGAAUGGAAGUACAGUGGAUCUGUUGAUCUCCUCUGCUGCAGUAUCAGACUCUGCACUCUACUACUGUGCUCUGGAGCCCACAGUGACAGGAAACCCAGCUACACUGUACAAAAACUUACUGCAGGAGGAUGCUUUGCAUUUGGUAAUAUGUCUGAAGAUGUUGCACUUGUUAAUGCAGUUGUGUGUGAGUGUGGUAAAAGGCAACCAUGCACAGCAUGAGUACACUCUAAAAAGAGAAAGAUCUCAUGCUCUUUAAGAUUCUUUUGAGUAUUUUGAAGGUGAAAAUGAACAAUUAAAAAAUUGGAAGUUUAUAUUUUUUUUCUUUGAAAUUAAACUGAAUGAAAAGGUGUUUUGGUGGUUGGUGUAGCGUAGUGGAUAACACCUUUUCCUUCGACGCUGGAGACGGGUUCAGUCCCCCACCUGAGCAAGCACACUACACUAUACCAAUAAGAGUCCCUGGGCAAGACUCCUAACACUACCUUUGCCUACUUAUGUAAAAAAUGAUCAAAUUGUAAGUUGCUCUGGAUAAGAGUGUCUGCCAAAUGCACUAAAUGUUUUGCAUCAUUAGAGUAAACAACGAAUAUUAUAAAAAUAAUCCAGAAGUACAGUAAAGUACAAGUAUAUAAGAGUCAUACUGAAACCCAUACAGUAGUGUUUACAAGUGAUUUCUUAUAAAAGUAUCAUUGGAUCUUCUGCUUCUUUGUCUCUGUGUGACUUGACACAUUCAUGUAUUUUAGCUUGAUGUCCAGCAGUAUGACAUCAAAGUCAAGUGACUUUGUAGAAAAUUCUUUCAUCUCCACAGAAGCUUUAGGUGUUGCUCUGUUUGCCAGCCAAUCAAUGCAUGAUCAGAUGAAAUAAGAUCAGAGUUGAGCUUCAUGAGCUUCAUUGUGAACUAGGAGUGGGUGGAGCUACAAGUGUUAAGAUACAGAUCAUACAACAUCAGAGAGUCAACACAGCUAUUAAUGUCUGAUGCUGGAGACCUGAACUGUCACUCAGAACAAUCAUGCUGCUCUUCAUCUCUGUUUUCAUCAUUGCUUUCAGGUAUAUACACACAGCAUUGCAAGGGAUUGAACUUAAAGAAGAGCAUACAAUCUAUCUAUGUCUUUAAAUAUCUAAAUAUUAUAUUUUUUCUGUCAUGUAGAAAACAUACAGUACUGUAUGAAAGUUUUAGGCAUGUAAGCAAAUUUUUAAACAAUUUACCUCAGCAAUGAGUUUAUCACAAUAUACAUUAGAAUAAAGGCAUACUCAUAAUUCAAGUAAGCAUAAAAACAAUAAAAAGU